rnacentral:rRNA from 1 species
CAGUAGCCGCGGGAAUACAGAGGGUGCGAGCGUUAAUCGGAUUUACUGGGCGUAAAGCGUGCGUAGGCGGCUUUUUAAGUCGGAUGUGAAAUCCCUGAGCUUAACUUAGGAAUUGCAUUCGAUACUGGGAAGCUAGAGUAUGGGAGAGGAUGGUAGAAUUCCAGGUGUAGCGGUGAAAUGCGUAGAGAUCUGGAGGAAUACCGAUGGCGAAGGCAGCCAUCUGGCCUAAUACUGACACUGAGGUGCGAAAGCUUGGGGAGCAAACAGGAUUAGAUACCCCGGUAGUCCCUGUCUCUUAUAC